AGUGGCCAGAUCAUCGCAAGCAUUUUCUCUUUAGGGUAUUGAUUAAUGGAAGCGCUUACCAGCCCGGCUUUGCCAGCCCUAAUAAGAAGCAUGCUAAAGCCACAGCAGCCACUGUGGUUCUUCAAGCAAUGGGCCUUGUACCAAAGGACCUCAUGGCUAAUGCCACUUGCUUCAGGAGUGCCUCACGUAGAUAGACUGAGGUUUUAUAUUAAUCAUUUCAGAUAAUUUUACUCUGCAUCACAAUGUAUUUCCUCCUUAACGUUGUAAAUAUUUCACAAUUUAAGACACUGUAUAAAAAGCAAUCUGUACAAACAUCUCCAGGCUUUGGUUUUUGUGCCAUGGAAAUUGUAUUUAACCAUACAGGGUUUUGGUUUGUUUAUAUUGUUUUACCUUAGUGAUGUAUUUGUUUAAGUGGCUAACAUCAAAACAAUUGUUUGAAGGCAUCAGUAAUAUUCAGUGUGGAAUGUUAAAUAACGCUUUUAUACUGUAUUCUCUACUAUGAUGUAACUCCCCUUUCUUAUGGCUAGGCUACUGUAACACUUGCCUGUAAUCAGUGAAGGGCUGUGCACCUUCUACUAUUUCACAAGGGGCUCUGCUGGAUAGAUACUGGGCCAGUGUUAUUAAGGUAAUGAAGCAAGAUCUGCUCCACAGGGCUAAUGCCACCGCCCCACCCCCACUCCAAGUUUUGUAGAGGUUAUGAAAAGAAAGUGAUCUAUUGUGUCAUGAUCAGCACUAAGUCCUGCAUUCCCAUUAAAGCCACUUGGAUCAUAAGAAGGGAGUGAAUGGAAGUCUAACUAGAAUUUUCCUUCAGAGGCCAAGUACAUAUUUAGUAUGGCUUGAGUUGUGAUAUAGUUUUCCUUUGAUGUGCAUUUUGAAUUUCAGCUACACCUAGAUAGACAUAAAUAAAAAUGCUCCAACCAACUUAUCAAAUAAAAAUUGGCAACCAGCCAUUAUUUUGUUGAAUAUAAGAAAGUUUAAGUUGAUGUUAAUUUUUUAGGGUCUGAUAGAAUAUUCAUGUGUAUUACAGUGGUAUUCAUAUGCUAUGUCUCUAAACUUUAUUUUCAAAAGCUUAAGGCCCAAAUACAAACUUCUCUGGAAU